rnacentral:lncRNA from 1 species
AUGACAAGCCAGCAAGGGACCUCGUGUCACACUGACCCUCAGAGGAGACCCGGUGCUGCAACGCCUCCAGUCUGGACCAGAGGUGACAGAUAUUCUGCAACACUCCUGCUCUCGAGAUGUCCAUCAGUCCUGUUAGUAACUUCUUCAGUCCCCAGAAGGUUGUUACGGACCACGGAGACCAGCAGAUGCGAUGCCGAGGGGCCUGGAAUGACCCGUCAUUGCCCUGGCUGGGCAGGGGCAGUGAAAGCUGAGAAACUUGACCCGGUUGUGAGGCUUUGAUCAACGGAGCUCUUGCAGGAAACGUGCGUACGGAGAGCUCGCCGGAGACCACAAGCAUCGCGGCCGGGCAGCGAGUCCCCGGCUGCGGGAGCCAAGCGAGGAGGCUGCAGAAACCGUCUCCACCGGGGAGCUGGUGACCUGGAUAAAUCCCUGUCCAGCGCAGCGGAGCCAACCUGAGCUGCGCUAACAGUGUUCCCAGCGCUGUUGCAGCCCGGCCUCUGCUGAGAUGAACUGUUGCAGCAAAUUGGGUUUUAUUUAUUCUUUAAAAUCAGCCCGCGAGACUGCCGACCAGCAAGAAGAGGGAAUCAUUUCUUAAUUAGGCCACAGGGAAACAAAUGAGCUUGAACAAAAGGAAGGAGAAAUGCACCCUCUUUGCAGCAACAUUAAAAGAAGCGUGGUUCGGUUUUUAGAAGCACUGCUUAAAGCACUAGGACAGCUUCUGCUGGUGACUAAUAACGUGGUGAAGGUGAUGGGGAAUGUGUUGGAGUGACUGAGACAGUAUUGGACUUUGAACAAAACUGCUCUUCUUUCAGCAGUGAUGUGGCAAUUGGUUUCUUCCUUGCCGGACUCAGUUUGAGGGGAAAUGUAUCAAUUUGUUCAGUUUCCGGUCAAAAAGGUUGGGUUAGUGAAGUGCAUCAACAUCAGUGUUUAGCUGGGAUAGAUCAAAAUAUGGUUAGGAAGGGCGAGCGCUGGGCAGGGGGAAGGAUUUCAGCAAGCGCCUGCUGCCGGGCGAGAGAGAGCGCGCGGCUCCCACCGGCAGCAUCACGCGCUGCCGGCUGCGGAGGUGGUCGCCUGGGUUUCUCAGCUUCCCUGGAGGUGGAUAAACACAACCUGCGUCUAUCCGACAGGAAAACAAAAUGGGCAGGAAUCAGCCUGUAUUUUCCUUUCCUGUUGCCCAGCAUUAGCCUGAGAAGCCCCAUCCCAUUGUCGGAAGAAUAAGCUAUGAAAUGGUUUAGAAAAUAAAGGCUUUUUAAUUACAGGCA